GACCGAGGGGCUUUUAUUCUCUCAUUUUUGAUGCACCUUUUGGCUGUUCGAAUGCCCUUAAAAGGAAAUAGAUUUCAGUCACACUUAGAACGAAACUUUAUGUAGUCCAGUAGGCGUGCAUGCAUGCAUUUGUGCAUCUUUAAGACAGAGCCUAUAGGGCCUCUUCCUGUGGUUUGUACCAUGUGGCUUAAAAAGUGUUAAAAGGCGACAACUUCUGUCUCUUUUCUCUGUUGUUUCCUGGAUCAAGCAGGCAGAGAACUGGUUAAACAAAUUGCUGUAAAACUGCAUUUGGAGCACAUGGAGAUAAGAGGAAGUAGAUGCACAGUACUGAUUGGACCACAGAGACAAAAAGGCGGGAACUUCAGAGGUACAGUGCAGUCACUCAUAAAGUAGACAGCACUACUAAAGGUUAUUACACAGUGUAGUGUUUCCUACUUUAUGGAUGAGUGUACUGUUUGCUGCGAUGGACAAUCACAAUCGUGUGGAGCUCCACAGAUGCUGAAGACUCUUGAAAUGUACUUUUUUUUUGAAAUAUUAAUAAAGGUUGUGCGUUAUGAUACUGUGAUUGUGUACAAAACAGCUGAAAAUGUACUGAACAUCAUUUAAGUGACGAUAAAUCAAACCAUUUGGUAUAGAGCUAGUUUUGAGUAAGGACAUUUAUGGUCAAAAAGAAACUUUUUGAGACAUUUUUACGACUAAUAUGAAGCAUGUAACACCCCAAAUGACCACUAGAUAAUGCAGUGAUUGACAGAUGUGACCAAAAUGCUAAGAACACAAUGUCAAAAUUACUGGUGAGAGAAGGGCCUCAUUUAUAAAGUAUCAUUUAUCAAAAGUGCGUACGUCUGCUCAGACCCUGACGUGGCACUAAGCACUUUUCCACGUAAAAGACCGUUUUUAUAAAUAUGGACUUUGCCGUGGAUUUUGGGUACGCACACUUUACGAUCAAAUCUGUGCGUACGCAAGCUUUAUAAUUUUUUUUUAUAGAAUUUUUUUUUUUUACUUCCAAUGGAUUUAUUUAACAGAAAGAGUCCAUUAAAUGUUUUAAAAAAAGUUUAUUAUCACUGUAAUAAUUUUUUGAAAACAUGCUCAACCAAACGAUUGAGGUGGCUUAAGAAGGUACAAGUAAGCUAAGAAAUGAACUAAUAUACAGUAUGUCCAAAUGUCAAACUUAGAAUUGUAAUUAAACUUAAACAUAAUUUAUACCAAAGUUUUUUGUUGGUUGGUAUCUUUAACUUUUUUUAGUUUGAACACUGAAUUUAUGAUAAAUUAAUAUAAAAAGUUAUAAAACUAGGGGCCCCUUUCACCACCUGGUUGCCAUCUAUGGUGCAAUUUAAGAAACUACUGUGAUGUGGCAAAUGUUUUACAUCAAAUACUGUUUUAACUAGUGCUGGGAAAAGAUUAAUCGCGAUUAAUCACAUACAAAAUAAAAGUGAUUUUUGGCAUAAUA